GACGAACGCUGGCGGCGCGCUUAACACAUGCAAGUCGAACGGAAAGGCCUGCUUUCCCUUGUGGAUUGCGGGUACUCGAGUGGCGAACGGGUGAGUAACACGUGAGUGAUCUGCCCCCAACUUGGGUAUAAGCCUGGGAAACUGGGUCUAAUUCCCGAUAGGACUGCAGGGUGGUGCCUGUGGUGGAAAACGAUUUUCUAGUGGUUGGGGAUGAGCUCGCGGCCUAUCAGCUUGUUGGUGGGGUAAUGGCCUACCAAGGCGGCGACGGGUAGCCGGCCGGAGAGGGUGGACGGCCCCAUUGGGACUGAGAUACGGCCCAGACUCCUACGGGAGGCAGCAGUGGGGAAUAUUGCACAAUGGGCGGAAGCCUGAUGCAGCGACGCCGCGUGGGGGAUGACGGCCUUCGGGUUGUAAACUCCUUUCGACCGCGAGGAAGCCACCUGGUUGGAAGGGUGGUGACGGUAGUGGUAGAAGAAGCACCGGCUAACUACGUG
rnacentral:rRNA from 1 species